rnacentral:rRNA from 1 species
AGCCCUAGCACAGGUUGUUGCAUGGCUGUCGUCAGCUCGUGUCGUGAGAUGUUCGGUUAAGUCCGCUAACGAGCGCAACCCUCGUCGUAUGUUAUAUGUGUCAUACGAGACUGCCGGUAAAAGGCCGGAGGAAGGUGAGGAUGAUGUCAAGUCAGCAUGACCUUUAUAUCCAGGGCUACACACACGCUACAAUGGUCUGUACAAUGGGUAGCCAAGCCGCGAGGCGGAGCCAAUCCUGAAAGCAGGCCUCAGUUCAGAUUGCAGUCUGCAACUCGACUGCAUGAAGCCGGAGUUGCUAGUAACCGCAGGUCAGCAAUACUGCGGUGAAUACGUUCCCGGGUCUU